AUGCCUUAAACUUAUGGGUAAGGAAAAUAAUGAUUGGGGUGGUGCCUAAGUCCCGCUGCUAAGGUGAGAUGAGUUUUUGAGUGGGUAAAGGGUGUCCCUAAAGGCAACCUACCUACAAAUAAGUAUGAGAAAUGGGCCUCAGUGGUAGAGCCCCUGCCUA